UUGCACCUGAUUGAUUUUGGUCGCCAACGAGUGGCGGACGGGUGAGUAACACGUAGGUAACCUGCCCAGAAGCGGGGGACAACAUUUGGAAACAGAUGCUAAUACCGCAUAACAGCGUUGUUCGCAUGAACAACGCUUAAAAGAUGGCUUCUCGCUAUCACUUCUGGAUGGACCUGCGGUGCAUUAGCUUGUUGGUGGGGUAACGGCCUACCAAGGCGAUGAUGCAUAGCCGAGUUGAGAGACUGAUCGGCCACAAUGGGACUGAGACACGGCCCAUACUCCUACGGGAGGCAGCAGUAGGGAAUCUUCCACAAUGGGCGCAAGCCUGAUGGAGCAACACCGCGUGAGUGAAGAAGGGUUUCGGCUCGUAAAGCUCUGUUGUUAAAGAAGAACACGUAUGAGAGUAACUGUUCAUACGUUGACGGUAUUUAACCAGAAAGUCACGGCUAACUACGUGCCAGCAGCCGCGGUAAUACGUAGGUGGCAAGCGUUAUCCGGAUUUAUUGGGCGUAAAGAGAGUGCAGGCGGUUUUCUAAGUCUGAUGUGAAAGCCUUCGGCUUAACCGGAGAAGUGCAUCGGAAACUGGAUAACUUGAGUGCAGAAGAGGGUAGUGGAACUCCAUGUGUAGCGGUGGAAUGCGUAGAUAUAUGGAAGAACACCAGUGGCGAAGGCGGCUACCUGGUCUGCAACUGACGCUGAGACUCGAAAGCAUGGGUAGCGAACAGGAUUAGAUACCCUGGUAGUCCAUGCCGUAAACGAUGAGUGCUAGGUGUUGGAGGGUUUCCGCCCUUCAGUGCCGGAGCUAACGCAUUAAGCACUCCGCCUGGGGAGUACGACCGCAAGGUUGAAACUCAAAGGAAUUGACGGGGGCCCGCACAAGCGGUGGAGCAUGUGGUUUAAUUCGAAGCUACGCGAAGAACCUUACCAGGUCUUGACAUCUUGCGCCAACCCUAGAGAUAGGGCGUUUCCUUCGGGAACGCAAUGACAGGUGGUGCAUGGUCGUCGUCAGCUCGUGUCGUGAGAUGUUGGGUUAAGUCCCGCAACGAGCGCAACCCUUGUUACUAGUUGCCAGCAUUAAGUUGGGCACUCUAGUGAGACUGCCGGUGACAAACCGGAGGAAGGUGGGGACGACGUCAGAUCAUCAUGCCCCUUAUGACCUGGGCUACACACGUGCUACAAUGGACGGUACAACGAGUCGCGAACUCGCGAGGGCAAGCAAAUCUCUUAAAACCGUUCUCAGUUCGGACUGCAGGCUGCAACUCGCCUGCACGAAGUCGGAAUCGCUAGUAAUCGCGGAUCAGCAUGCCGCGGUGAAUACGUUCCCGGGCCUUGUACACACCGCCCGUCACACCAUGAGAGUUU
rnacentral:rRNA from 1 species